AUUCUCUGAUGCUGCCGACCCUGAGGCACUUCUUGAGAACCUCUGGGCUGGAGGAAAUUAAGCCCUGGGGCUAGGGAAAACGAGGCCAAGAUAACUAUAAGAGGAAUUCAGUUUACAGUUAAACUUUGAGGCAAGGAAAAUUGACCUCACCUUCUUUCGGGGAGAUUGAAGCUGCAGUCACAAGAACAGUGACUCAGCCCGAGACCUUUGUCUCAGCUCGACAGCCCUCGAGAGGCGGGAGUGCAGAUAGGUCCAGCAGCCAAGAUGGGGCGAGUUACGCUAACUGUCUCAAGCCAUUGGCGCGAACACUGCACAAAGGAUGAAAUUUGCAAGGGACGAUAUGAUGGUAGAUCUGAAAAACGAAACAAAUCGUCUUUAGCAGCGUCUGGUAAUGGUGGUUCUUUCCUGCCGCGCGGAAGACUUAAGAUCGGUUCUUGCACAAGGCGGCUGACGUUUUUAUACAGAACAUUUUCGACGAGAAUUGCAAGUAAACAAUGUUUGGAAAUAAUAAUGACUCCCUCCAGUAACCAGGAAUGGCUGAAAUUUACACAGGGAUUUAUAACUUCACCUGUAUAAAUUACGCCCAUUAGCCUGCGCCUGGUUUUCCAAUAACUGGAAACACACUCCCGUCUGAACUCGAGCGAGCUUCAACUUCAGCUGAUUGGAAUUUUUCGAGGGAGAUUUCUAAACCUCUGGUGUUUGAAAGUGGCGUGCAGCCCGAUAUGGAUGGUCAGUGUGCACUUUUCAUUCUUUGGGAGAAUUUGGCAAACAACGAACCAUUUAGAAUUAGGAAGAUGCCAAAACAUUGUAGCCUGUAAUAUAUCCUUGACAGGGGAUUUGCUUGUGCCAGCAGAGUGGCGCAGCGGAAGCGUGCUGGGCCCAUAACCCAGAGGUCGAUGGAUCGAAACCAUCCUCUGCUAGGCGUGUUUGUACAUUUUAGUUGAAGACUAAGUAAGUAAAAGAAUAAGAUCUUCUCCAAAGAAAACGGGGCUGGUGGGCUGGUGGGCUGGUGGGCUGGUGGGCUGGUGGGCUGGUGGGCGGGGUGGAGGUUUAAACAAGGCGAACUACACGUUAGCGGACCUAACCCGUUUUAGGACCCCACAAGGUCUCCAGGUGGAAAUGCAAAUUUACAGUCUACCGUAACUGUUAAAUCCUACUAAUUGGUUGUGGAGGGGCUCUCAGUGUCUGAGAUGCGGAGACUACUUAGGAGUUGGCGUGCCCUCCGUAGUAAGUCUUUCCUACUUUCUACAUCAGUCAGCUCUUCCAGUUUGCAGUAUCUCUUUAAGCCAAUAUCUAAAUCUUCAAAAAUUUUAUUUUGUUUUUUAACCAGGAUGAGAGACGUUCCAGACUGUUGUUACGUUGUCAAAAUGAAUGAAUUUAAAGAUA
rnacentral:lncRNA from 13 species